UGGGCGGGGAGGUUGAACAUCCUGCAUAGUGCUGCCAGGAAAUCCCUAUUUCAUACUAAGAGGGGGCUGGCUGGUUGCAUAUGUAGGAUGUCCCAUCUCCCAGCCCA
rnacentral:pre_miRNA from 1 species